ensembl:misc_RNA Metazoa_SRP Metazoan signal recognition particle RNA
ACUGGGCACAGUGGUAUGUGCCUGUAGUCCCAGCUACUCAGGAGGCUGAGGCUGGAGGAUCGCUUGAGCCCACGAGUUCUGGGCUGUAGUGUGUGUUAUACUGAUCGGGUGUCUGCCCUAUGUUCAGCAUCAAUAUGGUGACCUGGGGGGAUCGGGGGACCACCAGGUUGCCUAAGGAGGGGUGAACCAGUCCAAGUUGGAAAUGGAGCAGGUCAAAACUCCUGUGCUGAUCAGUAGUGGGAUUGUGCCUGUGAAUAGCCACUGCACUCCAGCCUGGGCAAUGUGGAGGUUGCCCU